rnacentral:rRNA from 1 species
AGAACGAACGCUGGCGGCAGGCUUAACACAUGCAAGUCGAACGCGUGUAGCAAUACACGAGUGGCGCACGGGUGAGUAACGCGUGGAUAUCUGCCUUUUGGUUCGGAAUAACCCCGGGAAACUGGGGCUAAUACCGGAUGGUUCCUACGGGAUAAAGAUUUAUCGCCAAAAGAUGAGUCCGCGUCCGAUUAGCUAGUUGGUGGGGUAAUGGCCUACCAAGGCGACGAUCGGUAGCUGGUCUGAGAGGACGAUCAGCCACACUGGGACUGAGACACGGCCCAGACUCCUACGGGAGGCAGCAGUUGGGAAUCUUGGACAAUGGGGAAACCCUGAUCCAGCCAUGCCGCGUGAGUGAUGAAGGCCUUCGGGUUGUAAAACUCUUUCGACGGGACGAUAAUGACGGUACCCGUAGAAGAAGCUCCGGCUAACUUCGUGCCAGCAGCCGC